AUGACCUUCCUGAGGCACUUGCAGCCAUCUCCUCCCAAUGCAGUAUGGGGAAAUCCUCUUCAAACAGCUCCUUGGACAAACAGGUCCAGCCACCGAUUUAUCCACCGCAGAAGGAUACUUCACGUUUGGAGCAUGACAGCUCACCACUGUUCUUUCCAAGUCCAGUACCUCACCUGCUACCAUAUGCUACACAUACACAAAGCUCCGAAGACCUGCGCAUGGAGAGAGAGAAACUGCUGAGGGCGCUGUUAAUGACAGAACUCUGAGACAGGACACACAUAAAACAACACAACUAUUUCCAGACAACAAAACCCAGAUGGACAAAUCGGCCCUUAAAUCGAUGCACUAAUUUAUUUCACUGUUACACAGUAUUUGCGCCAGAGCAAACUUCUUUGCUAUAAGAGCUAUUUUAGCAUUUUGCUAACAUCCUUCAUCAAUGUUCAUUCAAGCAGCAGCUGAAAUGUUUGUUUUGUUUGCUUGUUCUGUAAUAAGCAUGGCAUCAGCGCUGUAUAAACUGACUUGACGACUUGUUAACUUUUAAUAA
ensembl:processed_transcript